UGUGUGUGUGUGUGUGAUUGGUGACACAACUUCCACACGCAGAGCUGUAACUGGGAGGAGCUGCUGGUUCCAGGCACAUUUCCCCACACUGUAAAUUCCCACGUCAGAGCUGGUCUUAAUGAUAUCUCCAUGCUCCCUAACACAGUCACACCCUAACGCAGAAACGAGGGCUGUCGGUGGUUAGAAGCUGUAGCACACUGAUAACAACGCGCCCUCCGAUUAGCACUCGUCCGUUCUUUCUCACAAAACUGAACCUUGGACUUGCGAUCAAAGAAUAGUUUGUGGAACAGAUGAUUCUUAACAGAUUCCCCAGCGCUGACUCAACAGGGAGAGAACCUGCUGCUGAUCUGCUAUAACAAACAGCGUGACUCCCCUGACGCGGCACGGACACCGACUGAGCUCCUCGGCCGGAGCUUCUCAAUCUGCCUCCAUUACCAUGGCAAUCAGAGCCGAGCCUUCACCGCAGGAGACGCCUCCCUGAAGCUUAGGUUUUCUGCCUGGUUGCCCUGAUCAGACAUGUGCUGAGGGGCGG
rnacentral:lncRNA from 1 species